GUGGUAUUUCAUUUCAUCAUUUAAGGAUUCAACAGAAGUUGUACAAAAGAUGAAUAUACAAUGUGGUUGAUGUAUAACAUCCUUUGUUACAUUCAACAUUAUGUGCAGUUCAACACAAACAAUGCACAUCCGUGAGCGUUUACUGACAUAGAUAUCGAGUCCUUUAUGGCUCCAAGAUUUGUGCCACUCCACACUUCUCUACCUGAGCACUUUGAACUUGUAGCAUGAAUUGCGUUCGUUAUGUCUGAUAGCUUCGCUGACAUUUUUGUCACCUGGUUGUUCAAAUUGAAGAAAGCCAAGUAGAUCUCUCCUCUCCUUCCAGUUGCAAGCCAGGACCUGAUUCCACCAGAAGAAGCUCUGACAAAAUCCAUGAUAGCACAAAAACCGGAAUAACUAUUCAUGAGGGUUCCAUUGUAGUUCUCCCACAUCUGGUUGGCAUGAGAUCUGCACCGUGAAAAUGAACCUCUGCUGAUCUCGUUAGCUGCAAGCUUUCUAUUUGAAGAUGCACCAAAACAAAGUUCUGUUCUCUCUGUUACGAAUAAGUGAAGUCUCCCGAGAUUUUGGUGCUGAUAUACCGUCUCUCCUUCUGAUGCUGAAAGUGCUUCUCUCUUGUUUAGACAAAAAGGUGCCUGGCGUUUAUUUGAGUUCUCUUCCCAGCACACUUUCUCUACACUGUCAAGAACUUUAGUAGACCAGCCAUUUGCCUUUACAUCUUUGCAGCUCCUUAGAGCCAAAACUCGCUUCUCCAACACAUUUAUUUUUUCUUUAUCCUCAGUAUGGUUACUCAAGCUAUGUUUUCCGGAUGAACUUAAGGAGCCUUUCACGUAAUGAAACUCCAUGUUGUUAGAGCUAAACCAGUUGAUCUCCAACAGAGUAGGAUUUGUAAGAAGACUGAAUGUAGAAGCAUCAAGCUUUCUCAUAUCUCCACCAAAGAUGAGAGGGGACCUGACCAUGGACCAUAGGGUCACCUGAGUACGUUGCUCAUCCAGAUUAAGCCUGCAAUAUCUGUGUGGGCCUUCAUUUGAACCUGCACCAAAACGGAGUAUAAUAUUUCGUGCUGGAUUUUCCUCCUUGUUUUGCCCAAGAGGAGAACAUAAUUCUGCUUCUGUUAACCAUCCAAGUGGUAGCAUAUCUAAGUCAGGCCA
rnacentral:misc_RNA from 1 species